CAACUCUUUCUACCUUUCUAUUAUCUGUGAUAUCCAUUCAUCUCUCUCUCUCUCUCUUUCUCUCUCUAUUAUUUAUCUAAUCUGUCUGUCAUCUCUGCAUCCACCCAACAGUCUGUCUGUCUACACAUCACACACGAAGUGAAAGAACGUGCUUGGGAAUGGUCAACACCUGAAGCAGGAGAGGGGACCUCAGGAGAGGAUCCUGGAGGAGCGCGCAUGGACUUCUGCCGGUCUGUUUAAGCUCUUGGCCUUCACAGAGAGCCAGGCACCCUGAAUACAGAGCAUUCUACCCACGGGACCAGAUGGUGACAGGGGAGGAAAGGCUGUCACAGGGCCUUGCAGUCAGGUGGACAAAUAGCAGCUGUGGACACAAACAUCUUCUGGUAAAACACUCUCAAAAGUUGCUGCAGUAAGAGUUAAAUGUUAAUGCUGAGUUGCGUUUUUUGUUUUGAAAGUUUUG
rnacentral:lncRNA from 1 species